ACUAGUUGCAGUGAUGAUACAUGUGAAUCCCAACUCAUUAUGAGGCCUUUUGUGGUCUGGGAAUUGCUUCAUCCACAUGUAUCUGAGCCUUGAU